ACCGCAACACCUGCCGAUCUAAAUUCUUUGAUGAAAGAUUCGAGUAUGAGCAUAUAGGGUGGGACCCGAAAGAUGGUGAACUAUGCCUGAAUAGGACGAAGCCAGGGGAAACUCUGGUGGAGGUUCGAGUGGAUUCUAACGUGCAAAUUGAUCUUUAAAUUUGGGUAUAGGGGCGAAAGACUAAUCGAACCAUCUAGUAGCUGGUUCAUUCCGAAAUUUCCCUCAGGAUAGCUGCAACUUAUGAAAUAGUUUUAUGAGGUAAAGCGAAUGAUUAGAGGUUUCUGGGAUGGAAUAUCCUGGACCUAUUCUCAAACUUUCAAUGGGUAAGAAAAGUGUGAUGUUUAAUUAAUCAUACUAUUUGAAUAUGAGUUGCAAGUGGGCCAUUCCGGGUAAGCUGGACUGGCAAUGCGGGAUCAACCGAACGCUAUGUUACGGCGCCAGAUUGUUCGCUCAGUUGGAUGUAAAAGGUGUUAGUUCAUCUAGACAGCAGGACGGUGGCCAUGGAAGUCGGAAUCCGCUAAGGAGUGUGUAACAACUCACCUGCCGAAUGAAGUAGCCCUGAAAAUGGAUGGCGCUUAAGCGAACAGCCUAUACAUAGCCAUUAUUGUUAGGAUUAUACAAUAAUGAGUAGGAAUGCGUGAUGAAUGUUGUGAAGUAUGAUGUGUGAACAUGUAUGGAACAUUCAUUAGUGCAGAUCUUGGUGGAAGUAGCAAAUAUUCAAAUGAGAUCUUUGAAGACUGAAGUGGAGAAAGGUUCCAUAGGAAUAGUGAUUAUCUAUGGGUUAGUCGAUCCUAAGAGAUAGGUGAAAUCCAUUGAAAAGUCAAUUUCGAUUGACAUUUAUCGAAAGGGAAUCAGGUUAAUAUUCCUGAACCAAAGAGAAGGGUAAACGGUAACGUAUAGGGGUCUCAAGACAUUGAUGUUAUUCCCAGGAAGAGUUUUCUUUUCUUGUUAACAAAUGGGCAGUGCUUGGAAUCGAUUCAGUCGGCGAUAAGCAUUGUUAUUUGGUAAAGUACUACUAUUUUGUGUAGUAUCUGGUGCAAUGACAUGAAUCCUUGAAAAUUGAGACUUUUGUUUUCCCGAAGCUUUGGUCGUACUAAUAACCGCAUCAGGUCUCCAAGGUGAAUAGCCUCUAGUUAAUAGAAUAAUGUAGAUAAGGGAAGUCGGCAAAUUAGAUCCGUAACUUCGGGAUAAGGAUUGGCUCUGAGGGCUAAGUGGGUUUAAGGUGUUAAUAGUAUAAGUUUGAUAUGGGAUUGAGUGUUUUGAGUUGCUUCGGUGAUUUGAAAUAUUUGGUUCUAAUGUCUUAGUUGUCUAUUUUCAUCUACCACUAUGAAUAGCUAACUCAGAACUGGUACGGACAAGGGGAAUCCGACUGUUUAAUUAAAACAAAGCAUUGUGAUGGUGUGAAAGAUAUGUUGACACAAUGUGAAUUCUGCCCAGUGCUCUGAAUGUGAAAGUGGCGUAAUUCAAGCAAGCGCGGGUAAACGGCGGGAGUAACUAUGACUCUCUUAAGGUAGCCAAAUGCCUCGUCAUCUAAUUAGUGACGCGCAUGAAUGGAUUAAUGAGAUUCCCACUGUCCCUAUCUACUAUCUAGCGAAACCACAGCCAAGGGAACGGGCUUGGAAAUAUCAGCGGGGAAAGAAGACCCUGUUGAGCUUGACUCUAGUUUAACAUUGUGAAAUGACUUUAGAGGUGUAGCAUAGGUGGGAGGAGGUAACUCCGAUCCUGAAAUACCACUACUCUGAAUGUUGUUUUACUUAUUCCAUGAAAGAGGAUACUUACUUAAUUGUAAGUGUUAUGAUGUAAACUUUGGUGACCUCUUUGGGAGACAUUGUUAGGUGGGGAGUUCGGCUGGGGCGGCACAUCUGUUAAAGAAUAACACAGGUGUCCUAAGAUGAGCUCAAUAAGAACAGAAAUCUUAUGUAGAACAAAAGGGUAAAAGCUCAUUUGAUUUUGCUUUUCAGUAUGAAUACAAACUAUAAAAGUAUGGCCUAUCGAUCCUUUACAUAAAGGGAGAUCCUUGGUAGAGGUGUCAGAAAAGUUACCACAGGGAUAACUGGCUUGUGGCUCAAGCGUAACGCAGGUAUCCGAAAGCGACUACAGGGAGGAAUUUUUGGACUAUAUCCUUGCGGUAAAGGUCGUUGACAAUAUCUAUGACGCUAUCGAGCAUAUCCAGAAGUACUCUACAGGUCACUCGGAGUGCAUAGUAACUGAUAAUAUUAUGGCAGCUGAAGAAUUCCAGCGCAGAAUUGACGCUGCGGCAGUAUAUGUAAACGCUUCGACGAGGUUCACGGACGGCUAUGAGUUCGGUCUUGGUGCGGAAAUCGGAAUCUCUACGCAGAAGCUCCAUGCAAGAGGACCUAUGGGACUUCGCGAGCUUACAACCUAUAAAUAUCUUAU
rnacentral:rRNA from 1 species